rnacentral:misc_RNA from 1 species
GUAGGUGAACCUGCGGAGGGAUCAUUAUUGUUGAAACCUCGAAGUGCGCUCCGGCGCGCUGAGAGGGGUUACAACCGACACUUUGCCGUCCAACCAUGUUGCCUCGGGGGAGACCCUGCCUUCGGGCGGGUGGCACCCCGGUGGACACAAUCAAACUCUUGCAUAACAAUGUAGUCUGAGUGAUUUAAACAAUAAAUCAAAACUUUCAACAACGGAUCUCUUGGUUCUG